GUUUAUAUAGCCAUCAAGUGCCUCUUUCCAAAAGUAAAAAUGAUUCAUUUGAAAAGAUGUAUCUUUGAAACAGUCAGGUCUGUUCAUUCGGUAUGUAUUUUUCUGAACAAACAUAACUAUCUGAAUAGUCACUUUUUUUCCAAAACAAUAUAUCUUUUCCUUAAAGAUUGUAUUCUCCAUUUUCCAUUUACACCUUUUUCAUACAUAUUGAACCCAGGCAGUUAAACAAGUUCAAGUAUCAUAGCUGUGACACAUGAAAGGGGUAGUACGCAGAAAAUUUCCAUCCCAAAAAUCACUCCACCAUCGGCUCUUAAGUUUAAGAAAGUAGGAGGUUUGUCGAGUCACUCUACUAUAUGAGUGAGUCAGAAAUUGAUUGUUGUAGAAAGUAGUAAGUCACCAAUUAAGGCAAGAGAAACUCCAGAUGGUAAAGAAUCUAUGAAAUUGGAUGAUGUAGGACCUCAACCACCACAUCAAAAAUGGGUUGGACUCUUUACAGGUAAUAGAUCUGUUGAAAAUGGUUUAGUACUAUGAUAUAUAUUACCUCGGAAGUGCAAGACGGUUAAGUAGUCGGAAGUAGAUACUGAAAUGCAAAAGUGGAAGUAUGCCUUGAUAGCCUAUCUAAUUGGGGAUCUUUCUGGUAUAACUAUAUGCCUAGGUUUAUUGCCCAAAAUCGGUCCUAAGCUGCAGAACCUGAUAUCUAUUACCAUGAGGAUGAGUAUUAUAUAGUUAGGUUCCAGUCAGGGGAGGAUAUGCAAGUAGUUUGUGUGUAGGUCCUUAU
rnacentral:lncRNA from 1 species